UACAUUUGGAAACAUUUUGAUGUGUCGUUGC
rnacentral:piRNA from 1 species